AGAAUUGGAGAUUGUGGAGGACCAGUUGAGAAAGAGGCUGAUGGUGGAAGGAGAAUGAGUCUCUGAUGACUUUGGACUUGAUGCUGGAAAGACUUAAGACUUUGGGGGACUACUGGAAAGGACACAGAGAAGACCACUCCCACCUCCCCGAGUGCAAGGUGUGAAGGGACAGAUCUUUUAACCAUGCCUGCCCCCUUAUACUUGCUGUUCAUAGAAUUGCAACUGAAAGUGACCAUGAGGAUCCACUGGAUGGAGUUACUUCUUUCUUAAGUGAGGAGGCUAAGACCUGGUAAAGUUAUGCAGUUUCCUCAAGAGUUCUUCACAUCUCUCUGUAGAUAAAAUUUCCGGUCUGGUUUCACAUUCCUCUGUCAGAAGAACUUUCUUUAAUGUUUCUUAAAGUACAGGUCUGCUGGAGUGACUUCUCCCCAGAUUUUUGUAUACCUGACUCUGUUUCAGCAUCCGCUUCCCAAAGAAUGCAGUGUGAAGCAGGAGUCUAGGACUCAGAAAUAUAGAUGUUAGUAAGAGCAAACAGACAUAACAGAUAACACAUACAAAGUGCCUACCACAUGCUAACCACUGCUGCAGGCACUUUCUAUAGAAGAACUAAUUUAAUCAUCACCAUAACCCUAUGGGGUAGAUGAUAUUUUUACAACCUCCAUUUUACAGAUGAAGAAACUGAAGCAUAGACCUGCUUAUGUGAGAAGAAACGCAGGGAGACAGUUCAGUCACUGCAAUCUUCAUGCCCAUCAGUUUCUUGUGAGAAGAAAACAGGAGCUCCAAUCUGUUAGAUGGUAUUUUGAAGCAGGUCUUUGGGUAAAGGACACCUAGACCCAGUGAAGGUCAUGGUGAUUAUUAUUGGACAAUGGGACAUCACUCUGCUAUGUGAACAAAUAAGACUUUUUCCUGACAUGCAUCUGGAGGCAGGUCAAAGCUCCAGGCCAACUCCAAGUUUCUGAUGGGGUCUCUAGCCAAUGGAAGGCUUCUUCUCCUUCAAUUGCCUGACUCUUCAGGACUCUUAAAUACUGCAGAAGUGAGAAAAUGAGACAGGUUGCACUGAGGGCUGUUAGCCAGACAGAGUCUCGAACUGGAAGUCCAUCUAGAUGUUUUGCAUAAGAGAAUGGAAACAAUCUGUCUGUGAUUUAGGGACAUACUCUGGCAGCAAUAUGGGAAUACAGUUUCAAUCCUCAUUAACAAAACAGGUAUGAAAUACAUAUUUAUUUAGUAAGGUGCCAGCUGUAUGAAAAAUCCAUUUCUUAUUUCCCAUAAUGUUUCUGAAAUGUCUUAGCAGUGCAUAGAGACAGCAUGUCAUCAUUUUCUAGGGACUGUGUGUUAUUGCAUUUUUCCUAGGGAAGAUCUUUUCUAGGUCACCUGCUCCUUCACUAAAGCUCUGACCAAUCUAGCUUGCUAACCUGUGACUCCAUUUUCCUAAGUCCUGAGAGAGAAAAACGCUUUGCAGCAAAUUAUGCCAGGCAUCCUUGUGUCUAAAUGAAAAAAGGAAAAAGCCUCCUUCCUUCCCUCUGUUGAGAAGUGCACGGUCCACAUAUGCAUGCACAGCAUAUACUGUGAGGGUAUUUGCAGUCCCUUGGGUUGCUUUGAUAACUGGCCAGGUUGCUGUUCUAUUUUUCCACAUUCUAUUAAUCCUCCUACAGGCAGUUAUUAGGUAUUGAGUGCUCACACACCCCUGGCAUAGUCACCACAUGCCAUUAGCUCCAGAUAAACUUCCAGAAAAAAGUCCAUCCCCCACUUCUCUCAGCUGCCUGCCAACGCUGGACACCUUCUCACCAAGCCAGCAGGACAGAGAAAAGCCUGGGCUUUAAGAUCAAACAAACACAGCUUCAAAUUAGGACUCUGUCACUUCCUGUGUACUGGGCACUUUGCUGAGUAUGUGGUUUCUCAUCUGUAAAACAGAGAAAGAUGAUUAUCUCCCAAUCUUUCUAUGUUAUAUGUUUGAAUUAAAUAAGGUACUCUCCAUGAGGAAAACAAGGACUGAAAUCCACACAGGAAGGUGGCAGUGAACUCCACAGACGGACCUGGACGCCUCAACACUCCUGGCCUUACCUCCCUUGCUGAACGUCUCAAGUUUCUCUGCGUUCAGGUAAUGUAUAGGAGGGUUAUGAGGGCAGAGAAUUCCUAAGCUCAUUAGUAAAUUGCUCUUCAGAAAGUGCUUUGAAGCAAAGCUAAUUUCCUUUCCCAAUAUGAGAAGAUUUGGCCCUACCAGAAAAAGGAAAUGAUUUGAAUGUGCGCCAAAAAAUAUGUUUUCUUUCUUUUCUUUGUUGAACACUCAUCGGGAGUUACUCUUAUUAGUUCCGCAUUUUUAUUGCAUUGGUUUAGGAAAACUUCCUACACCUUCUUUGUUGGGAUGUUCUCUGGACUAAUGACUCCAGGCGAGACCACCGUUGAUCAUGAACUCACUUUGAAACAGAAGCUGGGUUGGUAAGACUGGAGCUACGGUGGAUAUACACUGUUCCAAGCAGCAUGUGUUGAAAAGAUUUGUCUUUUCCCCAUUAAAUGGUCUUGGUACCUUUCUCAAAAAUUGACCAUAUAUGGGACUGGCAACGCCUGCUUCCUCCUCUGAGCUGUCAAGUAGGAAGUCCGGGCUGCUCUGCUAGAAAGAGAAGUCAUGUGCAGGAGCACUGAGGCAUCCCAGGUGUGACACUCUUCCACCUAGAGCAUUCCGUCUCUCAUCCUCUGCCAUGGGCCAUGUUUUGAACCACUAGAUUAGAGGGUCAAGCAAUUUCUUGGAAUUUUACUCUGAAUUCUACGUAGACCAUUUUCAUGUGUAUACCUCCUCUGAGUCACCCUCAGGUAGGGACAUUUGGACGCUGGGCUUCUUUAACAAAUUAAUCCCAAGUGCAAGACAUUUAUUUCUUCUGUACCUAAUGACCUGAGCAAUCCUUCUCUGCUGAACCUGGUAGUGUCAUCUUUAGAAGUGAAGACACAAUUAACACAUGGUCAUUUCUUCAUUAUAUCGUUGUUACGAGCAAACUGCUAUGCAUCCUUCAGCUGCAAGGGAUUGAAUGCUAUCAACAACCAUACAAGUGGAGAAGCAGAUGCUUCCCUAGCUGAGCCUCAGCAAUGAUCUAUAUCGUAAAAUGAAGGAAGGAAAAGGAAAACGAAAAGAAAAAAGGAAGGAAGGAAGGAUGCAGAGGGCUUUUUGAUGGAAUUGCUACAACUUGGUGCAUGCCUGCUCCUAAAAGAAAUACUCAGGAAUUGUCUCAUAAAGUCCUCACCUACUGGCAAAAACAAGAUGUUCUACUCCCAGGUUGACUUUUUCAAGCCCCAAGAUGUUGAGUCAGCCAUUCUCCAAGGAUCUCGAUUUCCUUUUAAUGGAAAAUAACAUUAAACACCAAAUAUAAGCCUCGCUGUCCCACAUGCGUAUUGGGGACAAGAUGAAACCUGCUUCCAGGCUACUUUGGCAGCAGAACUGAAAAAGGCUUUUUUUCCAGAUAUAUGAUUUCUCAUCGACAGGGUUGCACAGCCCUCUUUAUUGUUCGUGUAAAUGACACCCUUGGAUCUGAACAAUACACACCAGGACAAUUGUGUGCAACAGUUCUACAAACUGAUAUUUCUAAUUAAAAAAUAAAAAGUAAAAAAAUUUCUAAUGCAUUUCUCAUUAACCAGGAUACGUACAUUUUAAACUCUCAUUCAGACAGAUAUUGCAAUGUGUUUGCUUAUUAUUUGCUUUUGUGGGUCACGCAAAGCCUUCCAAUUUGCUGUUAGUUGGCAUUUGAUGUACCUAUUUCCAGACUUCUUAUAUACAUAUACAAAUUUGGACACAUGCAGAUAGUAUUGUGGUUUUGAUACUUGUUUUUUUAAAAAUAGAAUUCUACUCUAUAAAUUGUUCUGCAAAUUAUUAUAUCUGACCAGUAUAAUUUUCUGCAAUGAUGAAAAUGUUCUAUACCUGUGACUAUGGAGCCCUUAAAAACAUGGCUAAUAUGAACAAGGAACUAAACUUUUCAUUUUAUUUUAUUUCAAUUUACCUAACUUCGAGUCGUUAGUAGAAGUUACAUGCAGCUAGUUGUUAAUGUAUUAGACAGCUCAGUUCUAAAGGAUCAUAUAGAUUACCUUCAUGACCUGAGACAGGAAAAGAUUUCUUAAGUAAGAUACAAAAACCAUGGAGUAAAUGAGAAAAUAUUUGUAUUAUAUUAAAGCUAAGAUGACACAAGAUGGCUCACAUCUGUAUUUCCAGCACUUUUGGAGACUAAGGCAGGAGGAUUGUUUGAGCCCAGGAGUUCAAGUCCAACCUGGCAACAUAGAAAGACACUAUCUCUUCAAAAAAUUAAAAAAAAAAAUAGCCAGGCAUGGUGGCACAUGCCCAUAGUCCCAGCUACUGGGGAAACUGAGGCAGGAGGAUCAUUUAAGCCUAGGAGGUUGAGGCUGAAAUGAGCCAAGAUCACACCACUGCACUAGAGCCAGAGUGACAGAGUGAGAGCCUCAAAGAAAAAAAAAAAACCUAAGAAAUUUUAUGUAGAGAUACCAUUAAAAGCAUUAAAAGAGUAGAAAAAGAACCACAGAAUGGGAGAAGAUAUUUGCAACACUGUUAAGACAAAGGGCUUGUAUACAUAAUAUAUGAUGAGCUCCGAUAACUCAGUAAGAAAAACACAGACAAUCCAAAAUGAACAAGGUAUAAUAAGCCCUCACUUAAUGUCUUUGAUAGGAUCAUGGAAGCUGUGACUUUAAGCAAAAAAUAAAAUAUAACAAAACCAAUUUUACCAUAGGUGAAUUGAUAUAAGUAAGAGUUCAGUUCCUGGCAUAUUACUGGUGACAAAAAAUCACCAAACUUCUAAAAAAAAGACCAAAAUACAUUUAAUAUUAAACAUUGAAAUAAAUGUGAGCUACACAUACAUUUAGGAAAGAUUAAUAAAAACAAUAUAAGUUCAUUCACUUAUUCCAAUUCAGAGUCUCGGGUGCUGGAGCCUCUGCAGGGGCUAAGGGUGAAAGGUGGAAAUACACCCUGGACAGGACACCAUCCCGUCGUAGGGCACACUCACACCCACACCCACAUUCAUUUGGACUGGGACACUUUAGACUGUCAAUUCAUCUAAUGUGCACAUCUUUGAGAUGUGGGAGGAAACUGGAGGACCUGGAGAAAAUGCAUGCAGACAUGGGGAGAACAUGUCAACCCCACAUAGACAGUGACCCCAGCUGGGAAUUGACUUUUUUUCUCUUAAGGUUAUUAUAAAACAAUGUUAUUUGAGGACUUGCUGUAUUUGUACAAGCCCUUGUCUAUAAAACUAACUCAGAUGGCUAAUACACAUUUGAAAAGGUGCGGAAUUUCAUUAUUUCAUUAGUCAUAAGGAAAAUGAAAACUAAAGCUCUACACAUUCCAAAAUGGCUAAAGUUAAGAAGAGCAAUAUUAUCGAGUGUUGAUAAUAUUGUGGAGCACCUUGAAUGCUUAUGCAUUGCUGGUAGGAAUGUAAAUUAGUACAACAACUUUGGGAAACAGUCUGGCAUUAUCUAAUAAAGUUGAACAUAGUCAUUCCCUAUGAGUAAGCACUUCCAGUCCUAGGUAUAAACUGGAUAGAAUUGCUUUGUAUAGAGACACAAAGACAUAUGCAAGAAUGUCCACAGCAUCCUUACACAUAAUGGCCGAAAAACUAAAAACACCUCAAAUGUUAGGACUACAAUGGUAAAUUGUGUAUAUUCAUAGAGUGAUAUUUUAAUCAACAAUAAGUACAUUAGAAUUGCAAUUACAUGUGAUGGCAAAAGUAAGUCUCACAAACAUAAUAUUGAGCAAAACAAGGCACAUAUGAAAGAAUAAGCCUGCUUAUAUAAAACUCAAAGAUGGGUAGAACUGAACUAUGGUAUUAGAGAUUAGAAUACUAGUUAACUCAAAAAGUGCCAGAAAGUGGGCUUUUAUGACGCUGGCUAUUUAUUUCCUGGCUUUAUGGUAGUUACACAAAUGCUUGCUUGAUGAUACUUUAUGAAGAAGGACAUUUCAGUUUUAAAUACUAUUCAUUAUGUGCGUUAUUCUUCAAUAAAAAGUAUUUUUAGAAAGAGAUAUUAAAAUUUGAACCCCAGAGAACAAUUUGAGAGUGACCAUUUCCUAAAGCAACUGUUAUUACUUUUCAAAACAUUUAAUAUUGGUAUAAACAAAUAAACAAAUACAGUCUCAUUAUAGUUUGCAUUUUAUGUUAUUAAUAAUUUUACUAGAUAUUUGUAUUCUGCAUCUGUGAAAUGCUUAUUCGUAGCCUUUUCUCAUAUUUCUAUGGAAUAUUCGUCAUUUGCACAAUGAUUUAUAAGAAUAAAAUUGUAUAUUUUGUUCUAUUGUAAAACUGUUGUAUAGUAAGGAUUGUGCCCAUUUAUCUGUCAAACAGGUUGCAAAUAUUUCCCCCAGUCUGGCAUUGAAUUUUGUUUGUAGUGUGAUUUUCCCAUGCCAAAGUGUUUGUUUUUAUUUUUUCUGCAGUCACUUUCAUUAUAUCAUUUAGUUUAUGGUUUCUGAGGUUUUAAUUGCUUAUAAUAGCAUCCCCACUCCUAGAUUAUAGAAAAUAUUUCCCUGUUUUCCUCUAGUAUUUAAAUAGUUAAAUUUUAAAAAAUAGAAAUAUUUUAUGCAUCAGAAGUUUAUUUUUGUUUAUGAUGGGAUACUAAGUCUACAUUUUUCCUUAUGUCCGUCUGCAUGUCAAUUGUCCAAACAACAUUUAUCGCAUGCAUGACUCAUGUUGUCUCCACCAAUUUGAUUCUCAUUUAAAUAUGUGUAUAUUUACAUAUGUAAAUAUAUACAUAUAUAUGUAUAGAUAUAUAUUAGAUUCCCUUACGUACUUGAGUUUGUGUCAGGAUUCUCUGUUAUGUUACUUAAUUUAUUUACCUAAUCUUGUACCUAUGCCAUGAUGAUUUAAUUACUCUGGCUAAUCAGGCUACAGCCCAGGCACUGAAAUAUAAAAUAGCAGGUUUUGCUUAAUGUUUUGGCUUCAUCACUCAUAUGUCUGGCUUAUAGGUGCUAUUCCGUGUGCUUCUGUCUCCCCAUGGCAUCUCAUCCUGCAGAGUCUCUGCCCGUGGACUCUCUUUUCAGAAGAGUAGUCAGAAGUCUUAAUAUCUUAUGUGGCAUAAGGCUUCUAAGCACAGAAAAGUGUGUGGUGUUAGGUCUUUUUAAGGUAUAACCUUGGGAUUGCCACCACAGUACUUUGCUAACAAAUCUUCUGCUUUGUUAGGAAGUCACAGGUUAGUCACAUUCAAUAUGGAAAUGACUACACAUGGGCAUUAUACCAGGAGGAGUGUCCAUUGAGUGCUACCUUUGCAGACUAGCUACCACAGUGGGUAUCCUUGUCUUAGUCUUAUCUAUAAUAGAAAUGUCUUAAGUCCUUCAUUACUAUUUGUUACUGAUUUCUAGAUUUUAUCAAGAUUAAAAAGGGAUCUACAAUCCACAGAGGUUUGUUUUCUUUUAUCGGAAUGGUUGCUAAAUAGUAUCAAAUACAAUUUGAAAUUUAUAAAGAUAAUCAUUUGGUUUUCUCCUUUAAAAUACUUAUGCAAUAAACUCUAUUAACAGA
rnacentral:lncRNA from 10 species